GAGACUCUGUGCGCGUGCAUAUCAAUAAGCGGAGGAAAAGAAACUAACAAGGAUUCCCCUAGUAACGGCGAGUGAAGCGGGAAGAGCUCAAAUUUGAAAUCUUAAAGGGUUUCCCUUUACGAAUUGUAGUUUAAAGAAGUGUUUUCUGUUGGAGUUUCGGUAAAAGUUCUUUGGAAUAGGACAUCAUAGAGGGUGAGAAUCCCGUAUUUGAUCGUUACUUUCCAGCUGUGUGAUACACUUUCAAAGAGUCGGAUUGUUUGGGAAUGCAGUCCAAAAUGGGUGGUAAAUUUCAUCUAAAGCUAAAUAUUGGCGAGAGACCGAUAGCGAACAAGUACCGUGAGGGAAAGAUGAAAAGAACUUUGAAAAGAGAGUUAAACAGUACGUGAAAUUGUCAAAAGGGAAGCGUUUGACACCAGUGUUGUUUAGUUGAAAAUCAAUUCAAUAAUUUUUGAUUUUAAGUAGUAUUGACUUCAUCAGCUUGCUGCUUUCUUUUCAGGAAUUAUUGAAUGCACUUUUCAGUUAACAAGUCAACAUCAAUUUCUUUUGUUGUAAAAGGGUAAGAGGAAGGUGGCUUACGCUUCGGCGUAAGUGCUUAUAGCCUUUUACCUCUGCAGUCGGAGAGAUUGAGGACAGCAGCGUAGACUCUUCGGGGUUAGAUACACUUGUGCUAAGCUAUAGCCUUGUAUAGACAACUUGUUGACUAUGCUCAGUCAUGUAGCUUACUCGCUUGUGCUAUUUUACCUACGCUUAGGAUGUUGACAGCAGUAUAGACUGU
rnacentral:rRNA from 1 species